GUGCACCAGGCGCGAAAACUUCACACUGUGCGAAAGCACGAUGAGGGAAUCCCAAGUGCUUGCACGUAAGUGUAAGCUGUUUCUCUGUCUAAAACGCAGAGAGAGUAAGGGCUGGGUAAGACGGGUGCCAGCCGCCGCGGUAAUACCUGCAGCUCAAGUGGUGACCGUUAUUAUUGGGGCCUAAAACGUCCGUAGCCGGUUUAAUAAAUGCCUGGGUAAAAUUGUGUAGCUUAACUAUACGAAUUCCGGGUAGACUGUUAAACUUGAGACCGGGAGAAGUUAGAGGUACUCCUGGGGUAGAGGUGAAAUUCUGUAAUCCUAGGGGGACCACCAGUGGCGAAGGCGUCUAACUAGAACGGGUCUGACGGUGAGGGACGAAGCCCUGGGGCGCAAACGGGGAUUAGAUACCUGGGU
rnacentral:rRNA from 1 species